GCAUGUCUAAGUAUGAACGCUUCGUACUGUGAAACUGCGAAUGGCUCAUUAAAUCAGUUAUAGUUUAUUUGAUGGUUGUUUGCUACAUGGAUAACCGUGGUAAUUCUAGAACUAAUACAUGCAGAAGGUCCCGACUUCUGGGAGGGACGUAUUUAUUAGAUCCAAAACCAGCGCGGGUUGCUCUCGGGCUCCCGGUACCUGGGUGAUUCAUGAUAACUUCUCGAAUCGCACGGCCUUCGCGCCGGCGAUGGUCCAUUCAAAUUUUUGCCCUAUCAACUUUCGAUGGUACGGUAGUGGCCUACCAUGGUUGCAACGGGUGACGGAGAAUUAGGGUUCGAUUCCGGAGAGGGAGCCUGAGAAACGGCUACCACAUCCGAGGAAGGCAGCAGGCGCGCAAAUUACCCAAUCCCGACUCGGGGAGGUAGUGACAAUAAAUAACAAUGCCGGGCUCUUGUAGUCUGGCAAUUGGAAUGAGUCCAAUCUAAAUCCCUUAACGAGGAACAAUUGGAGGGCAAGUCUGGUGCCAGCAGCCGCGGUAAUUCCAGCUCCAAUAGCGUAUAUUAAAGUUGUUGCAGUUAAAAAGCUCGUAGUUGGAUUUCGGGGCGGCCCGGCCGGUCCGCCGCAAGGCGAGCACUGGUCGGGCGCCCUUCCUCUCGAAGGCUUCGACUGCUCUUGAUUGUUGUGGUCGAGGAGUUCGGGACGUUUACUUUGAAAAAAUUAGAGUGUUCAAGGCAGGCCGUGGCCUGAAUACAUUAGCAUGGAAUAAUGGAAGAGGACCUCGGUCCUAUUUUGUUGGUUUCCAGGGCCGAAGUAAUGAUUGAGAGGGACAGUUGGGGGCAUUCGUAUUUAAUUGUCAGAGGUGAAAUUCUCGGAUUUAUGAAAGACGAACAAGUGCGAAAGCAUUUGCCAAGGAUGUUUUCAUUAAUCAAGAACGAAAGUUGGGGGUUCGAAGACGAUCAGAUACCGUCGUAGUCCCAACCAUAAACUAUGCCGACUAGGGAUCGGCGGAUGUUAGUGUUUGACUCCGUCGGCACCUUUCGAGAAAUCAAGAGUCUUUGGGUUCCGGGGGGAGUAUGGUCGCAAGGCUGAAACUUAAAGGAAUUGACGGAAGGGCACCACCAGGAGUGGAGCCUGCGGCUUAAUUUGACUCAACACGGGGAAACUCACCAGGUCCGGACAUGGUAAGGAUUGACAGAUCGAGAGCUCUUUCUUGAUUCUAUGGGUGGUGGUGCAUGGCCGUUCUUAGUUGGUGGAGUGAUUUGUCUGGUUAAUUCCGAUAACGAACGAGACCUUAACCUGCUAACUAGUCACGUCGUUCCAGAACGACGGUCGACUUCUUAGAGGGACAACC
rnacentral:rRNA from 1 species